GUUUGAUCAUGGCUCAGAUUGAACGCUGGCGGCAUGCUUUACACAUGCAAGUCGAACGGUAACAGGUCUUCGGAUGCUGACGAGUGGCGAACGGGUGAGUAAUGUAUCGGAACGUGCCCAGUAGUGGGGGAUAACUACUCGAAAGAGUGGCUAAUACCGCAUGAGAACUGAGGUUGAAAGCGGGGGACCUUCGGGCCUCGCGCUACUGGAGCGGCCGAUAUCAGAUUAGGUAGUUGGUGGGGUAAAGGCCUACCAAGCCGACGAUCUGUAGCUGGUCUGAGAGGACGACCAGCCACACUGGGACUGAGACACGGCCCAGACUCCUACGGGAGGCAGCAGUGGGGAAUUUUGGACAAUGGACGCAAGUCUGAUCCAGCAAUGCCGCGUGCAGGACGAAGGCCUUCGGGUUGUAAACUGCUUUGUACAGAACGAAAGGGCUCUGGUUAAUACCUGGGGCAGAUGACGGUACUGUAAGAAUAAGCACCGGCUAACUACGUG
rnacentral:rRNA from 1 species